UAAUAAGUAAUAACUGUUGUUAGAAGAAAACCCAACCUAAACCUAAUUGCGAAUCACAGAGGAGAGCGUGAGCAACGAGCUUCUCCUCCAGUGGCUUCUUCUCCUCUAUUAAUGCGAGCUUCUCCUCUAUUCUUGUGAGCUUCUCUGCCAUUGAUGCGAGCUUCUCCUCUAUCGAACUUCUGCGCUCUAUGUUGUGUGAGCUUCUUACCCUAGCUCGUCUUCUCCGUGUUCGUUCUCACUUUUAGAAUUCAAAAACGACAUCGCCGCUGCUCUGCGAGCUUCUCCUCCAUCAAUGAUUCUUCCCCUCCAUCGAUGUCAUGUCCAUCAAUGCUUCUCCUCUGAUGGUACAUUUGCUUCCAUUGAUGCAAUUUGCUAGGUUUUGAUUUUCUUCCUUGUUCAAUUUAUUUUUAGGAUUGCACGUUAAUAUUUAGAUAGAGUAUCAAAACAAAAAGACAAGUUGAAGAAACACAGUGCACCGGGAGAUUCCAGAAAGGAAGCCCAAGCAGCGCUGCUCAUAUUGCUGCAAUCAUUCAGUACUUUAUCAUCAGUGGAGGUAGCAAAGCAAGAACUGCUGGAAAUUCAGGAAGGAAAAAGUAACCUCAAGGCUAAGGAGCCACUUCUUCAAUGCAUUCAUGCUUACAGGGAGGGAGCAAGAUGAAUACGAGGUUGUGAGGAAGGUGGGAAGAGGGAAAUACAAUGAGGUCUUUGAUCUGAGGGCGUUCACUCCACCGAUAAUGAAAAAUGCAUCAUCAAGAUCCUCAAACCCGUCAAAAAGAAAAAGAUGUCGCAGAGUCAGAGUAAGAAACUGAUGCCGAAUCUGGAUAGGCAGAGCACCAAGGUGCUGAAUCUCACCGUCCUCCAGCGCUUCAAUCCCUUCAUCGCCGAGAUUCUUUUCACCGCCGCUCAUGUCUCUUUCUACGAAUUCAACAUUGAAACUAAUCAGUGGAGUCGUAAGGACGUCGAAGGAUCUCUAUUUGUUGUCAAGAGGAAUGUGCAGCCUCAGUUUCAGUUCAUUGUCAUGAAUCGACAAAAUACAGUGCUUGAUUUAUUAUUUCCUCAUUGUUUGGAGAAAUAUAAAUGUACUAGUGCUCUGCUCUCAUUCAUCUGUGUGCCUGAUUUGUGCUAUCAGUUUUCUGAUUUACAACUUUCUUUGUAAUAUUUGUUCUGACAAACAACCUAGUAGAAAAUCUAUUGGAUUUUGAGUAUGAACUUAAAAAGCCAUACCUAUUAUAUCGAAAUGCGGCUCAAGAAGUUAAUGGUAUAUGGUUUUACAAUGAAGAUGAAUGUGAAGAAGACAACAUCUUAAAUGGUUUUGCGGUCAUUUUGGUAGAACUGUAUCCCUGUUAGAAAUUUGCAAUUUAAAUUAAAACAUUGUUCACUAUUUCUUACUUUUACCAAACUAUUUUCAGCUGGCCUAUAUAAGUGGUUGUCAUGUGACAAUGGAUUUAAAAUUCCCAUUCCAGUUAGAAUAUUAUGAACUAUAAAGGGAUUUUCCUUG